GUUUCUGGGUACAUUCUGCAGUAGACACCUGAGGGGCACAAGUUCCUCAACACCAAUGAUGUGGCGUUGACAGGUUUUAAAGAACCUUGGCAAACAGAAGCUUCCUGAUUGGCUGUUCUAUCCCCAACUCUCUGUGGCAUUUGGUGCUGGCCUUGGUCUCAUCCAUAAUAUAGAUUUCAAUGCCAAAUGUCAGGGGGGAAAUGGAUAAGGCGACGUGCUUUAUGAAUUGUGACCAAAAAUACCAGCAUCAAAGAAGCAAGCAGUAAAUUACAGAUACAUCAGCUUCAGGUUAUCCCGUCAUCGUACUUUCGCUCGCUUAGGGUUUCUAGAUUUGUGAGUCUAAUUUGAGUCAAUAUUUACAAAGACCAAAAGAGUUGUUACAAAUUCCAGGUUAGUGCAGACAUUUUGCAAGUAUAAGAAGCAAGCCAGAUCCGCUGAGAAUCCCUGUUCAAUGUACUGGCUGUGUGUUUGUUUGUUUUAACUCUUUAAGAUUAUCAGGAUAAUGCUGUAUACUUGAAGCAUUAAAUAGAUUUACUCUUUA